CGGAGCGCUGUCAGCAGUGUAGGACCGCUGGGGGUUUUGCUCGCACUGACUCUACACCAAUGACAAUGAACUGCGCAUCCUCAUAUUGCAUUCGAAGCGGAGUCUGGUUUUCUGACAUCUGCUACACAAUGACAGGUUCAUUUACCUUAAUUUGACGGUGAUCCCACGCGUUAUUGUGGGAAAUGCAUAAGAGAUGGACAAAUAAUAUGGACUGGACACCGUCUGUUGAGCGAUACCAGAGAGAUGCUGAAAGGAGCUGAGUUUGUUCCUGUCUGUUCUUUUUCAACUUUCAACUCGUGUGGUUUGGAUGUCGCAAAGAUGAGUGGAUUUCUGUAUCGUGGCAGGUAAGCUAUUCCCCUCUAACUGAGCGGGAAACAUAUACUUCAAAAGAGAAAAGACAGCUUGAUUUCUGUUUUUGAGGAAAUUGUUGUUGUAUUACACAGUGUUGUGUUUGGGAUUUGUU
ensembl:lncRNA